CUUCUCACAGUAUUCAAAGGGUCUGUGGCUAUUUAAAUUCAUUUUACAAAAUUAGGUCAAAGGAAAAACAGAAUGAAUUGAAUAACUUUAAUAGGAUUUUCUGGCUAAGGCUAAAGAUAAUCCUUUCUGUUAUCACCUGCCUCCAGCCCAGUUCUCUCCAUGCUAUUUCUGAAAUUGCUCUAUUUUCCUCACAAGUCAAUCUAUCUUUCAGCAGUCUCAGCCAGAACACUUCUUUUAGCCUAGUAUUCAAGUUUGUGGAGUGCUUUAAAACUAUACAGAGGAAUUUUUAUUUGGUCUUAUGAAAAAUAUGGAGCCCCUGGACUUUAAUGAGUAAGGUUGUAAUGUGGUCCUAUCAGAACCAAGCUGAGUGGUGGACUUACUGGAGGAAGAAGAGACUUCAGGCUGAAAUUCAGAGACCAUAGAGAUCAAGUCAUAGUAGUCUUAAGUUACAGGUGAUGAAGGUCUGAAUUAAGAUAGUAGUUGACUGAAUAAAGGAAAAUAACUGCAUGUGAGAGAUUUCCUAGGGGUAGAAAUAUCAAGAUUUGGCAACUAAUUUACUAUGUAAGAAGAAGAGGAGAAAUAAAGUAGAAUGCCACAUGAUAAACCAGAAAGCCUGAAAGAAUAGUGAUCCUUUCAGUAGACACGAUUAAGAAGAAGCUUGUUUAUUAAAGAAUGAGAAUUCCAGAGGCACAGUAGGAGUAAGAAGAGACUGGAUAAAACAUGAGAAGGAUAGAAACUGAGAGGAGGUAAUGGCAGAAGUAAGCAAAGAGGAGAGAAAGAAAGAGAAAAGCAUUUCAGGUUGGAGAAGUGAGAUGAUUUCCUGACAUGCGGCUGGUAAUUCAGAUUUGAAAAUCUUAUUGCCUCUUCUUUGAGGAGCCAAUAGUAACAUUGCUAUCAUUAGUCACUUGAGAUAAAGGUGAUGAGACCUUCAAUUUGAGAACUGAAGAACCUAUUUUCUCCAAUGAGAAAGUCUUCCCUAUCUAUUCCAUUUGACAGAGAUUUGACCUUUCCUUUAAUUUUUCUACUUAUUUGAUGUCAGCAUCAACAGUUAACAACAGCUCAUCACACAAGGGACCCAAUUAUGCUUCCGAACAGAGCCAGAAGAAAAGCAUCAUGAUUGACAGGAAAGGCUGAGGUCCCAAACAGAGAGUCAGGAGAAAAAAAGAAGUUCUUCCAAUAGCAUCAACUGAAAUGGAAGUCCAGCUGUUAGUCAAAGCUAAUACAUAGUACGAGGCCACCAGGAACAGAGAUGGGACAAUUGCGAAGAAUCAGGAAAAGCCAUAGAAGCAAAAUAAAGACAGGAGCUAACCUGUUUAAUAAAUGUCUGUUUGCCUUUCACUAAAGGGCAUAGUCAAAGCCAACAGAGAGUCCAGGU